AGCGAACGCUGGCGGCAGGCCUAACACAUGCAAGUCGAACGAAGUCUUCGGACUUAGUGGCGGACGGGUGAGUAACACGAGGGAACGUGCCUUUAGGUCCGGAAUAACUCAGGGAAACUUGUGCCAAUACCGAAUUUGCCAUUCUGGGGAAAGAUUUACCGCCUUUAGAGCGGCCCGCGUCUGAGUAGCUAGUUGGUGAAGUAAAGGCUCACCAAGGCUACGAUCAGUAGCUGGUCUGAGAGGAUGACCAGCCACAUUGGGACUAGAACACAGCCCAAACUCCUACGGGAGGCAGCAGUGGGGAAUCUUGCGCAAUGGGCUAAAGCCUGACGCAGCCAUGCCGCGUGGAUGAUGAAGGUCUUAGGAUUGUAAAAUCCUUUCACCGGUGAAGAUAAUGACUGUAGCCGGAGAAGAAGCCCCGGCUAACUUCGUGCCAGCCGCCGCCGUAAGAC
rnacentral:rRNA from 1 species